GUUUUAUUCACAACUAUUUCUACUACAGCUUGCAAUCUAAUUAUUCUAUUAAGCAUAUAUAUUGGGGUCCUAUAGCCCCAGGAUCUGUCUUCUGCCCACGUAGCUGGAUCAUAAUAGGCUAUGAUUUUCUCAGGAGGCCAUCAAUGAAGGGUUUGGGC